rnacentral:rRNA from 1 species
UACGUAGGAGGCAAGCGUUGUCCGGAGUUACUGGGCGUAAAGCGCACGCAGGCGGUUUAGUCAGUCUGUAGGGACAGGGCACAGCUCAACUGUGUCAGGCUUACGGAAACUGCUGAACUUGAGGGCUUCAGAGGGAUGGGGAAUUCCGGGUGGAGUGGUGAAAUGCGUAGAGAUCCGGAAGAACACCAAAGGCGAAGGCAGUGUCCUGGGUGGUCGCUGACGCUGAGAGGCGAAAGCCAGGGGAGCGAACGGG